CACCAUCGUCGUGGCCCACCAAACCCUCGAUCCCCUGGUACUCCCCAGGCCGCUGAUUCUCGAAUACCCCACCUCCGAGGCCUUUCAGUCCUUCUUAUUGCUCUUUGCUUCCCGUUCGGCGAUGGUCUCCAUGCUUGUUCCGGCCCACGGGCUCCUUCGGCCGGCGCCGCUUGGGAGUCCCUCGAGUCCGUCGGUGGCUCUGUCGGCUGGAUCCUCGGCCC
rnacentral:lncRNA from 1 species